UACGUAGAGGGCAAGCGUUGUCCGGAAUUACUGGGCGUAAAGGGUACGCAGGCGGAUAUAUAAGUCAAAUGUGAAAGGCACCGGCUCAACCGGUGAGCGGCAUUUGAAACUGUAUAUCUUGAGUUCAGGAGAGGAGAGCGGAAUUCCUGGUGUAGCGGUGGAAUGCGUAGAUAUCAGGAAGAACACCAGUGGCGAAGGCGGCUCUCUGGCCUGAAACUGACGCUCAGGUACGAAAGCUGGGGGAGCGAAC
rnacentral:rRNA from 1 species